rnacentral:rRNA from 1 species
GACGAACGCUGGCGGCGUGCUUAACACAUGCAAGUCGAACGGAAAGGCCCUGCUUUUGUGGGGUGCUCGAGUGGCGAACGGGUGAGUAACACGUGAGUAACCUGCCCUUGACUUUGGGAUAACUUCAGGAAACUGGGGCUAAUACCGGAUAGGAGCUCCUGCUGCAUGGUGGGGGUUGGAAAGUUUCGGCGGUUGGGGAUGGACUCGCGGCUUAUCAGCUUGUUGGUGGGGUAGUGGCUUACCAAGGCUUUGACGGGUAGCCGGCCUGAGAGGGUGACCGGCCACAUUGGGACUGAGAUACGGCCCAGACUCCUACGGGAGGCAGCAGUGGGGAAUAUUGCACAAUGGGCGGAAGCCUGAUGCAGCGACGCCGCGUGCGGGAUGACGGCCUUCGGGUUGAAAACCGCUUUCGCCUGUGACGAAGCGUGAGUGACGGUAAUGGGUAAAGAAGCACCGGCUAACUACGUG